rnacentral:rRNA from 1 species
UACGGGGGGGGCAAGCGUUGUCCGGAUUUAUUGGGCGUAAAGAGCUCGUAGGCGGUUCGGUAAGUCGGGUGUGAAACCUCCAGGCUCAACCUGGAGACGCCACCCGAUACUGCUGUGACUAGAGUCCGGUAGGGGAGCGUGGAAUUCCUGGUGUAGCGGUGAAAUGCGCAGAUAUCAGGAGGAACACCAGCGGCGAAGGCGGCGCUCUGGGCCGGAACUGACGCUGAGGAGCGAAAGCGUGGGGAGCAAACGGG